UCUGGUAAUGAUGGCAGAGAGGUCACACCUGUUCCCAUGCCGAACACGGAAGUUAAGCUCUCUAGCGCCGAUGGUAGUUGGGACCUUGUCCCUGUGAGAGUAGGACGUUGCCAGGC
rnacentral:rRNA from 1 species